rnacentral:sRNA from 1 species
CACCCCUUGGUGAAAAUGAGCCGUAAAUGGCACCGGUCAGUACCAAGCUGGAAAGCCGGUGAGGCUAACAAAGAG